GAUGAACGCUGGCGGCGUGCCUAAUACAUGCAAGUCGAGCGAACAGACGAGGAGCUUGCUCCUCUGAUGUUAGCGGCGGACGGGUGAGUAACACGUGGAUAACCUACCUAUAAGACUGGGAUAACUUCGGGAAACCGGAGCUAAUACCGGAUAAUAUAUUGAACCGCAUGGUUCAAAAGUGAAAGACGGUCUUGCUGUCACUUAUAGAUGGAUCCGCGCUGCAUUAGCUAGUUGGUAAGGUAACGGCUUACCAAGGCAACGAUGCGUAGCCGACCUGAGAGGGUGAUCGGCCACACUGGAACUGAGACACGGUCCAGACUCCUACGGGAGGCAGCAGUAGGGAAUCUUCCGCAAUGGGCGAAAGCCUGACGGAGCAACGCCGCGUGAGUGAUGAAGGUCUUCGGAUCGUAAAACUCUGUUAUUAGGGAAGAACAAAUGUGUAAGUAACUAUGCACAUCUUGACGGUACCUAAUCAGAAAGCCACGGCUAACUACGUG
rnacentral:rRNA from 1 species